UACGGAGGGGGCUAGCGUUGUUCGGAAUUACUGGGCGUAAAGCGCGCGUAGGCGGCUUUGUAAGUUAGAGGUGAAAGCCCGGAGCUCAACUCCGGAAUUGCCUUUAAGACUGCAUCGCUAGAAUCAUGGAGAGGUGAGUGGAAUUCCGAGUGUAGAGGUGAAAUUCGUAGAUAUUCGGAGGAACACCAGUGGCGAAGGCGGCUCACUGGCUCGGUACUGACGCUGAGGUGCGAAAGCGUGGGGAGCAAACAGG
rnacentral:rRNA from 1 species